CGUGCAAUACUUUCUAUCUUGAAUGUGAUGGACAUUAGUUACUCUUACUUGAUUGAAAGGUGAUCUAUAGAGUUGUGUGUAGCUGAACUAUAAAUUGGGUUGCGAGAAUAUUCUUGGACAUAUUCAUUAAAAUUUAAUACACAAGAAAUACAUUACAUGGGAAUAAGAACUUCUGGAAUCUAACAUCAAUUGAGCCACUGGUAUAAUCAUUUUAUACAAUCAUAUGUUCAAUUAACAGAAAUAUAAAUAAAGAUGCUAUGAUGAUGAACAACUACAAUAUGAAUUUUUAUUAAACUAUACAUUCAUAAUAAGUUGAACAUAUAGACAAUUAUUUUUACUCUAGUUCUGAAAUUAUUGCCAACUCUUGUUGAAAAACUCUACCUGGCUUGCUCAAGUUUGUUGGAACUGUUGAAGCAAANNN
rnacentral:lncRNA from 1 species